rnacentral:snRNA from 1 species
AAAAUUACGGGUUUACGUUUUUG